GUUCGUUCAAACAAAAUGAAGAAGAGGCAUAGUUGAUAGAAAACACAGGAAUGAAGAUCCUAGACUCUUCAAUGGCAUUGUCGAGUGAUGGUUUGAUUUCAUCCCCUCUUUGCAGGUCACGGUCAUCAAUGAAGGUGUGGAUUCCCUUGUCAGUAAGAGCCUUGUAGAGAUGACCAGUAAAACCGUUACGAGUGUCACUGCCCCUGAAGCUGAGGAACACUUGGUAAGUGAAUCGAUAGGAAAAUGAAGAGGAUGAGGAAGGUGAUUGCAUAGCCAUGAGAAUUGAGAAUGCAGAAUAUGAGUUAAGUUUUUGUGGUCUGAAAUGUGGAGUCUUCGGUAUGAGUUUGUGGUGUAUAUAACAAGGACAAAACUUAUGACAAAAAUGGUCUGUUAAACUUCCUGACCACUUCCUAUAGCCGUGUGGACCAAUCACACAUAUUCUGACCGAUGAUGUAAGCAAGUUCUUUAAUUAAUCCUCUGGUCAAUGGUCUAACUUCUUGGAUGUUGCCAUUGUUCAUAAUCUUGUUUUCUUCUUGCUGUCUUUCUUCAUUUUUUCGCGUCAUAUGCCAAGGAUUUUCUUUACAAGUUUUUUGUGCAACCAAUAUUGCAUUAAACUAGCACUAGUACAAGGACCCCCAUUAUACUCUAGUGCUAAUAUAAUCAACCUUGCAAUUAUGUAAGCACUCGUUGCAUUUUUCACAUUUCUUAAUAUUACUAAAUUGUUCUUUGUUUGUUUGGAUUUAAUUUAACUUAUGUGUCCAAAUAAAACUAUAUGCGUCAAAAACAAAAAUAAUAGUUCCGGUACUUAUUACACUAUUCUUUGGUUUUUAAUUAAUUUAUUUUAGUUUUUUCCGAAAGUUGAACAGCAAUCACAUUGAAAAAGACAUGAAUACGAGGUAUAUCUUUUUUGGAGGGUACAAAAAAUCCUAAGAAAAGUUGAAUACCGGGUAUAUGUGAUUCUUUUGUAAACUAUGUUUUCUUAUAAUUAAUAACUUUAAAAAGAAUCAGCAUUAGGUCCAAGGUUUGAUCCCUGACCGAUGUAUGGAAAAACAGAAGAGUUAAACUCUUUAAUGAAUAGAUUGGUUCUUAUUGUUGCCUCGUUAGUAUUUCUCGGUGUCAGAAUUUUAGGUCAAUUAUUAGUAGAGCUAACUAAAAAUAUAGUUACUUCGACUAGGACAUGAGUGACCUUAUUUAUUUGUCUCUCGAGCACAAUGUGAGAGUUUGUAAAUUAAGAAGCAAAACUAAUUAUUCAUUAUAUAAUAAAACAUAACCAAACUAUGUAGCAUCCUCUCUAACAUUACACGUGUUUUUGGCGAUCACAAAAACACCUUCAUCACCUCUUAAGCACAUGCCAAUAUAUGUCCAAUUUUGCCGAAAUGAAAAUUAAGCAUCUAUAUUGCACUUAUACCUUCCUUCUUGCAGCCCUUGCCACCGUGCUUUGUGUUGUCUGCUGCAUCAUCGCAAUCUUCUUCCACAUCAAUUGUUUUUGAUGUACGGGAGCCAUGCCUACCUCUUCUGGUCGUGGCAUUAGCUAUGAACCAGUCCUCUUGAUACCACUUCUGCAAUUUACUCAUUCACAUCUUGUCAAACCUUCCUGCUUUGUUGCUUCUAUAGACUCCAUAAAGUAACAACCAUAUAGUUAGCAAUAACAAGAAGACUGUUGUCUUUGUUGUAUUUGUUUUCAAUAAAUCUUUAUUAAUUUCAUUCCAUAUCCUUCAAUCCAAUAGCCCUUUUUCUUUUCUUUAAUUAUUAUUGUUUCAGUGUGAUUCUAUGGAUAUUUAUGUGAUUCUAAAAAAGAAAUUCUGAUUGCAAUAUCCUUUAACCUUUUUAAUCACAUUCUCAGGCAUCAUAGAUAAAAUCUGAAGCUUAAACUCCACAUAGAUCCGUUCAUUUUUUAAAAGUGCUUUGUCCAUUUCAGACUUGAAAUUGAUCCCGUGAAAUAUUUUACAGCAUUGAAUAUUUUCUUCCAAAUUCAUAUCAAACAAAUAUGUAUGUCCCGAAGAAGGAAGACAUUUAAAUUGGAGUUCUGGAAAUGUACAUUCAUAACCAUUGACAAAAAAAUUAAAUCCUAAAGUAUACUUAACAUCCGGAAGAUAUAUAUUACACAUUGUCGAUUAUAUGUGAAAUACUACACAUCAAAUACUAUUGCAAGAAAAAACAACAACAAACCUGACUCAACAAAAUCUUCUAUUUGAGGAACUCAAUGAUUUACAUCCUAAUGCACGAAGACAUUUGAGAUUCGGUGGAAACCCUCUAAUUUCCUCAAGAUGCUCGUUAAAAUUCAAUAGGAGGGUCCUCAUAAGGUGACAUUCACUAAGGCACUCGGGAAGAAUUUUGAAAUUGCCAAAGGAUAAGUCUAGAAAUUUCACAUUAACACACACAACUUGAGAACUAUUUGGAGACAUUCAUAUGGGAGAUUGCAAUCAUUGAAACGAAGACCUUCCACAUUUGAAAACAUUAUUGAAUACAUUUUAUCAUUAUGUUUUGGGAACCUGAGCAUUUCACAUCCCUGUAUUGAUAAGCUGAGAUUUUGAAAUGAAAAUGGCAAUUCUCUUAUGGAAGUUAUACACAUUCCAAUCUGUACAAAUGUGUGUGUUAAAGGGUGUGUUGCUUGUAAUCCUCGGAAUACAAACACACAUUUGAAUUUUUUUUUUUUUUUUUNUUCUUUCUAACAUAUUUAUAAAAAUAUUACUAUGGAAUGACAACCAACAUUUUUAUUCAAAAGAUCUUUCAUAGAGAUUAUGAUUAAAACCAUUUUUGCUUUCAAAGUAUAAGGAUCUUACUUGUAACAAUAUUCAUCUNNNNNNNNNNNNNNNNNNNNNNNNNNNNNNNNNNNNNNNNNNNNNNNNNNNNNNNNNNNNNNNNNNNNNNNNNNNNNNNNNNNNNNNNNNNNNNNNNNNNGGAUCCGCCAUAAUUUAUUAGACGCUGCGUGAAAGUGGCAAACGUCCACUGCACCUUUUGGAAGUUCGGGACAGAAGGGAUACAUCUGGAGGCCCUGAGAGAUGGAUUCCCAUACUUUCUUCAGACUUGGUUUCUUCUGAUGUGUCUGAAGCAUCCUUAUGAAAUAGUUGAACAAAAAUUCAAGUUAUAACAGAUGUGAUAACUAACACAAUAUACAUUUAUGCUGCAUUUAAAAUAGUCAAAUUUUUAUCAGUAUUGUUUCAAUGCCAAUCAUAUGACAUUGGGACAGAUACAUCAUACAUGAUUAAGUGCAUUAAGAUAUAAUAUAUGUCACUUCCUAGCAGAAACCCCCGUGAAAAGUGAUUAAACUAUUCCAAAUCCAAUCUGAAUCAUAAUUAAUGAGAUUAAUAGUAAACUUAACUUCAUCCAAUAAUAUUCAAAAACUUUUUCAUUAACCAAUAAAUUUACUGUGUUUAGGCUAUUAACUUUUUCACUCAAAAGAUGCAUUCAGUCCACACAGCACAAUAAGUAAAUAGAAGGGGAGAACAAGCCUAGAUUUUCUUAAUCUUUACAAUUUCAACAUCAAAUGUCUAAAAUUUACAAUAAGAUGGUCAAAAUAACAUUAGUAACAUUUAUGCAUACUCUGAGAACCUUUAUUUCGACAUUUAGCAAGGAGAAAAUCAAAAUAACAUUAGUAACAUUUAUGUGUAACAAUGUUUUCAAUUAUAAUUUCUAAAAUUUCCAUCAAUCAAGCUGGAUAAAAAACAUCCUUCCUAUGAAAUACCGACACAGACACGGACACCAAACUCGACAUUGAUUUGUCAACACCAAUAGUAAUUUGAGAAAAUCACCUGUGUUGGUAUUGGAUGCCUUCGAUCAGAAGUGUGUGUCUACAAAGCAUUUUGGACAGAAUCUUAUAUCAUGUCUCGUCAUUUGAAAAACUCUUCCAGGUAGAAACAAUUAAUUGAUUUAUAAAGAUAAUAAUGAUAAUGAUGUACCUGGACCAAGGAAUAUAUCUAUCCAUGGUGUUCCUUUUCUUUUGUUUCAGUAAGCACCAAGUUCCGCAUGCCUGACACUAAAGCUAGAUGUUGCUGCUGCAAAAUUUCUGUCUCUGAAACUCCCACUUCCACAAAUCUAUGCUUUUUCAGCGUAGGAUGAAAUUGUGAUAAUGAAGCAUUGAGAUAUUCAUCUAAUUUUCUCUAUCUACUAUAAGGAUUGGUGAAUAUCACAUCCUCAUUCGUGUUGUUUUUCUCCUUGCGCACGUGGAUUCCCAUUUCUGUACUUCUUAACCUUUUAAUAAUAUUCUCAGGAAUCCAACUAAACUGAAGCUUCAACUCCACAUAGAUCCAUUCAUUUUUUAAAAGUGCUUUGUCUAAUAUUUUAUAGUGUUCAAUAUUUUCUUCCAAAUUCAUAUCAAACAAAUAUGUAUGUCCCGAAAAAUACGGCAGUCUAAAUUCGAAUUUUUGAACUGUACAUUCAUGACCUUUGACAAACAAAUUAAAUCCUAAAUAAUAUUCAACAUUCGGAAGAAUAAUAAUAAAAGUUAUAGAAGGGAUCUUUUUACAGAACCAGAAAGAAAUUGAAUGACCCCUGCUUUGAUGCUCGAACCAAUCUGGAAUCCUAAUCACCUCUGUUCCGUUUGGGAAAACAAAUGUGGUGCACCCAGCCUCAUGUAAUUGCUGUUAGUUUAGCAUAAGAUAUAUAUUACACAUUGUUGAUUAUAUGUGAAAUACUACUUAUCAAAUACUAUUGCAAGAAAAAACAACAAACCUGACUCAAUAACAUUCUUCUAGUUGAGGAACUCAAUGAUUUACAUUCAAAUGCAUCAAGACAUUUGAGAUUCGGUGGAAACCCUCUAAUUUCCUCAAGAUGCUGGUUGGAAUUCAAUAGGAGGGUCCUCAUAAGGUGACAUUCACUAAGGCACUCAGGAAGAAUUUUGAACUGACCAAAGGUUAAGUCUAGAAAUUUCACAUUAAUACACCACUUGAGAACUAUUUGGAGACAUUCAUAUGGGAGAUUGCAAUGAUUGAAUUCAAGAACAUCCACAUUUGAAAACAUUAUAGAAUACAUUUUCUCAUUAUGUUUUGGGAACCUGAGCAUUUCACAUGCCAAUAAUGAUAACUGGAGAUAUUGAAAUGAAAAUGGCAAUUCUCUUGUGGAAGUUUUACACAUUCCAAUCUCUUUUGUAUUUGUCAUCUUACAUAAUAAUUCUGGAAAACUCUUGAGUCUCUUACAAUAAGUGAGGUCCAAUUCCUUAAGAGAGGGCAGCCGCAAGGGUGGAAAAUUCUCAAGCUUGAUGCAUCCCCAUGCAUUUAAGAUUUCAAGUUUAUUUAGCUUCCCAAUCGAAUCGUGAAUUGCAAUUAAAUUGUCACAAUAUUGAAACGAGAAUUUUUCUAAAUUUGGAAGACCUGAGACAUUGGGUAUAUGGGUUAAAUAUUGACACUUGUCCAAUGUCAAGACUUUCAUAUCCUCAAACCUCUGCAUAAACAAAAAGAAGAAACAAACAAAUAAAUUAAAAAUAAAACACUAUACUCUCAUAGUGAUAUUAUUUUCUUGACAGAAACAAAAUCAUUGUGAAUUUAUAAAUAUAUACAAUUAGAAAAUGAAAUUAUUUCACUUGCCUUGCAGAAAAUAAAAGAUGAUAGAGACUCUGAAGAACAUCCAUUCAAUUUCAAUACUCUCAAACUGCUUGGAAGAUACUUGGGAUCUUUAGAAAAAUAGACAUUUUUAAUAAUAAGUGUUUUGAGAUUUGUCAUCUUCUUGAAAGCCUUUCCAUUCCAGUCUAUUACCAGAUCCAUUGAGGGAGAAUUCAGAUAUAUCAUCUCAAUUUUACUUGUUCCCUUUUAACAGAAAAAAAAAAUAAAAAUGAAUCAACCACAAUACAAAUAAAAUAUUGAGAACAUGUAAAUGUAAUUAAGGGUAAAAUAAAUAUUUGUUCAUAGAUAUCAAUCUUACUUUGUUUUCCUGUAAAAUAUGAAUUAUGUCAUCGCGACACCACAACCGACUACGCUUUUCAGGCUCUUUGGGUGAUUCUUUCCGGACGAUUUCUUUACCCAUGACCUCUAGCAAGUCAUGUAAUGUCACAUCAUUCAAGUUCCACCCACUAAUUUUUAUGAGAGACAUAUCAACCAGCUCUCCAAUGUGGCUCUUUAUGCAAUAACCAUAAUGUUGUUGAAGUAUCUCUUCGACUUCUGCCAAUCUACAUCCUUUGAAGAAACAAGCAAUAUCCAAAAAGACACUUUGUUGUUCUUCGUCCAAAGCAUCAAAGCUUACUUUAAGUAUCUUUUGGAUAUCUUCAUGUGGAAUUCUUUCAUACUUAUCUAAUGUAGAAUCACAUUCUGCAAAACUCUUUCCAAACAAGUUGGAACCCACUACUUCUAGAGCUAAUGGAAGGCCAGAAGCAUACACAACUGCAUGGUUAAAAAUCUCUUCAUAACUUGAAGGAACUUUGUAAUUUUUAAAAGCCAUCCACCUCAACAAUUCAAGAGCAUUUUCCGUAGACAUCCCUUUUACUUCAUGGAUAAUUUCUAUCUCAUGAUUGGUUAGUAAGUGUUUGUUACGAGUGGUAAUGAUAACUAUGCUUCCACAGCCGAACCAAUCACGUCCUCCAGCCAAAGCAUGCAGUUGUUCCAAAUUGUCAACAUCAUCGAGAAUCAAAAGAAUCUUCUUUGUAUGUAGCCUUUCCUUUAUAUAGGGAAUUCCCUCACUAACACCUCCUAACUUAAUUUUCAGUGCUAGUGUUUUUAAAAGGAGUUCCUCCUGGAGAUGUUUCAAUUGAUUUGAAGCUGAAUUCUCUCUCACAUUUUCAAGAAAACAUGAGCAUUCAAAUUGAUCAGCAAUAAAAUUAUAAAUUACUUUAGCAAGUGUUGAUUUUCCCAUGCCUCCAAUACCAUAAAGUCCUAUCAUGCGGACUCCACCAUAAGAUCCUUUAUCAAGAAGCGAUUUCACUUGUUGUACUCGAGACUGCAACCCAACAGGGUAAAUGGCAACAUGUAAGGGCUGACGACUGAUCUUGUUGGAGACAUAUUUGACUAUCUUUUCAAUAAACUUGUAUUCAUAUCUAUUCAUGUCCAAUAAGAUAAGUCAGUAUGUAACAACAUCACAGUCACAUCCAUGUCCUCAUAAUAUAUCAUACAUUUCUAACUAUUUUGACUUAUAAAUAACUAAUACUUGUUUAAAAAUGUAAAAAAAAAGGUGUUUCCAAUUUAGGCUUUAAGAUGGUAUUAUUGAGGAAUAAAAAUUAAAUAAAUAAAAUGCAAAAUGGAAAACAAGAAUUAAGUAAAGAGGAGUACCCAUGACUAAAAUGGUAGCCGGACAAGUUAGCAGCUUCGGUCAGAGCCAACUUCCAUUGAUGCAACCGCUCCAUGUUUUUCUUGUUAUUUUGGAAACUCUUUUUGUGCUUAGUGAGAUGUUCACCAUAACUCCCACUUUGAUGUCGUAUGUGACUAGGAUCCACGCCAUAGAAAACAGGCAAAACAAGACGACCCUUUGUCUUGUAGCAGUGCAUGAUGUGGACAAGUUCGUCCAAACAAAAUGAAGAAGAGGCAUAGUUGAUAGAAAACACAGGAAUGAAGAUCCUAGACUCUUCAAUGGCAUUGUCGAGUGAUGGUUUGAUUUCAUCCCCUCUUUGCAGGUCACGGUCAUCAAUGAAGGUGUGGAUUCCCUUGUCAGUAAGAGCUCUGUAGAGAUGGCCAGUAAAACCGUCACGAGUGUCACUGCCCCUGAAGCUGAGGAACACUUGGUAAGUGAAUCGAUAGGAAAAUGAAGAGGAUGAGGAAGGUGAUUGCAUAGCCAUGAAAAUCGAGAGAAACUGGAUGAAAAAAGAGUUUGAGAAUGCAGAAUAUGAGUUUAAGUUUUUGUGGUAUGUGAUGUGAGAGUCUUCAGUAUGUAACUAUAUAACAAGGAGAAAACUUAUGACAAAAAUGGUCUGUUAAACUUC
rnacentral:lncRNA from 1 species